AAAUUAUUGGUAGAGGAUGUUCCGAAAGUCACAAUAAUAUCCACUGAAAAUAUUCUAAGCAAUUCAGAAAGAAAAUAUUCUAAGCAAUUCAGAAAGAAUCAUUUAGUUUCCAAUUGAACUAGAGCAGGCAUAAAAAGGAAUAUAGUUCAUACAUAAUUUUUUAAUGUAUUGGGAAUAGGUAAUAUUGACACAACACAAUUAUAAAGACCAACAGUUGUUUGUAAGUCAUAGACAAAGGCAACAUUGGGAUUACAGGGAAGAAUUAAGGUGUCCUGACUAAAGCAAAGGUACUCUGAGUUAAGUCAUAAACUUUCAUUUCCCAUGCUACCCAAUUCGUGGGCUCUGCACACCAAAUACUUUGAAGACUGUCGGAAAAUAAGCAAAUCCUACAGACUGUUUAUGAGGUGGUCCUUACUUGAAUCCAACUCGAAGUACACUGUAUUGCGUGUGAGAGUACACCAUUGCAUUCCCGCAUAGGCUAUGUUUCCCUUGGGAACAAUGGGUCCUGGUUGCUGUGGGUCUGGUGCAACAUGGCAGUCCGCAUCUCACACCACAUCAUCUGGGAAAGAAAAGAACAGUGAACAGUUCUAAUUUUUCUUCUCUUUGAAAGGCUUGUGUUUGAUUUGAACCAUAUUUGGAGAUGAAGAUAAUGAACACAAGUUGAUGUGAAAAGAUAUUUCCCUUUUAUAAAAUGUUCGUGUUCAUGGGGUAAGUUGUAGAUCAAAAUAUGCAGGUGAAUUAAUUUGUUAUUUAUGAUUGGGCAUAAUUUUAGUUCUUUGGGAAUAUUGAUUUUUUAAAUUUGCAACCACUUAAACAUGUAUUUGUGUCACCAAUCAUAUGCAUAAUUUAAAACACUGAGGAAAUAAUCAAGCUUCUCUGAUGGAAUGGUCUUGUUUUAAUACUGCCUUGUCCUACUGAAAAUGAAUAGAAGAUAGUCUCUUUAUUGUUUUAAAUAAUUAAAAGCCUACUAAUAAAAUUUCAGUCUCUUUAAACAGUCAAAGGCAUUGUAUUUUCAAGAUCACUUGCUACCAAAUCUUUAUUUUCUUGAAUGGAAUCCAUUUUUUAAAAAAAAAUUAAAAGAACAAACACUUCAAAUGAAAUGUGAAUUUUCAUAAAGCAAAAUCUAGGUUUCCACUCUAUAGACAGAUAUAUUAAAUGCAAUUAACUAUUUUGCCAGACAACCUUACUGAUUAUUUUAUAGAACGCUGUGAAAUAGAUUAUUUUGUACUUGGAAAAAAUCAAUGUUAUGUCAUGGGGAUGAAAAUUUGAUGAUAUUUUCAAUAGGCUCUGAAUUAGUUGAGGUUGAAGUAUAAGUUGAGGAUAAGAAGAUUUUUGGCAAGUGCACAGCCAGGGUGCAAAUGAUUAUGUUAGCAUAUUCAUCAUGGCCACAUCUCAUCAACCACGGAGUUCUGAUGGUUUUUUGUUUUCUUAUUUCAAUUUUGAAAUACUUCGAUUGAUGCACUUGCUUUGAGAUGCCAAGGUCUUCAGGAAAAGUAGGGUUCUUCCUUCCUCUGUUUCAGAAAAAUGGGUAACAAUCCAAGUUGCCUUUUAAAAAAACCUUCAGAGCCACAUACAAUGACUUAUGUCUACAUGGUGCAAUUCCUAGAAAAGGUCCAUCUCUAGUUUGAGAGACCUAUUCUUUUUCUUAAACAGAAAGAUCUCAGUGUGAGAACACCUUCUUCUAUGAUGAGUGGUGCACCCAAGAAGGGUGAGAAAUGGAAUUGGGAACAUUUUGCUCUCUUCAUAAAGAACCUUUUCUAGCCCAAGUUGUAAAAAAUAUUUUUGCU
rnacentral:lncRNA from 1 species